rnacentral:rRNA from 1 species
GAUGAACGCUCGCGGCAGGCCUAACACAUGCAAGUCGAGGGUUAAGCCUUCGGGCUAAGACCGGCGCACGGGUGCGUAACGCGUAUACAAUCUGCCUUUUAUCCGGGGGAUAGCCCGAAGAAAUUUGGAUUAAUACCCUAUGGUAUAAGAGCACGGCAUCGUGCACUUAUUAAAGCUACGGCGGUAAAAGAUGAGUAUGCGUUCUAUUAGCUAGUUGGAGAGGUAACGGCUCCCCAAGGCGACGAUAGAUAGGGGUUCUGAGAGGGAUGUCCCCCACACUGGUACUGAGAUACGGACCAGACUCCUACGGGAGGCAGCAGUGAGGAAUAUUGGACAAUGGUCGGAAGACUGAUCCAGCCAUGCCGCGUGCAGGAUGACGGCCUUAUGGGUGGUAAACUGCUUUUGUAAGGGAAGAAUAAGGAGUACGUGUACUUUGAUGACGGUACCUUACGAAUAAGCAUCGGCUAACUCCGUG